rnacentral:misc_RNA from 1 species
AAGUCGUAACAAGGUUUCCGUAGGUGAACCUGCGGAAGGAUCAUUAACACGAAACUCCACGUUUCAUACCAACCUGUGGUCUUGUAACUUUCUGUUUUUUGGAACGAAAGAAGCGGGAUGGGCUUUUUUUUAAGCCUGUGUCGUCUUUUUUUCCUCCAAAGAAUUUUAUUUACAAAAACCCCUUGUAUCAUCUAUUGACUGAACCAAUGGAAGUUUUGAGUACCCUCCGGGGCGCUCGCUUCUUGAUAUUACGAAACUCUGAACAACUCUAAGCAACGGAUAUCUUGGUUCUC